rnacentral:sRNA from 1 species
CAAACUAAAAUGGAUCAAACACAAUUUACAUGGCAAAUGCCAUGAAAGAUCUACAGCGGCUUUCAACAUCAACGUCGACUAGCGUAAAUAUUAUCACAAAUUUCGACACCUUCGACCCUAAAACGGAAAGUUUUAAAACAUAUAAGGAACGCAUAUAGCUGCAUUUUCAAUUUUUACGGCAUCAAUCAAGUAAUCGAUACUUAUCAAAAGGAUAAAUCAAUAUCAUCUGUAGAUACACACAAAUUUUUAUCAACGUGGAAAUUGAAGGCAAAGAUCAAAAUUUCGAAGUGGAUUCCGGAUUCCGUAUAGCCAGCUAUACGCUAAUACCACGAAGUGAUUAUUUCAAAUUAAAAAAAGAAGCCUAUGCGGAGAACCAACAUAGCGUUUGUAACCCUUGCUGUCGUCGACAUAAGCGUCAAAUACAAAAUAAAACAUCAAAAGAAGAAAUGUACGUCGAAUUAGAAAAAUAUUCUCCUCUUUUGGGACGUGUAUGGAUUAGACAUUUACAAAUAAAUCUAUGAGAUAUCGACAAGGAAUGUUCAAAGGACUACAAUAAAGGAAAAUACAUGGUAAAUUCUAUUGAAAAAAUCGUCGAAAAAUAUGCUGAAAUCUUCAAGCCAAAAGUUGGAUUUAUUCUCGAUGCUAUGCGUUGCCUCAAACUUCAAAAAGAUGCCAAACCAGUAUUUGUUCGUGAACGGCAAGUGCUAGAUUGUUAGGAGCGUGAUGGCAUUAUAACAAUGGUAAACACUAGUCUGUGGGGAUCACCACUGGUAGUAAUUCCUAAGCCAGAUGGGAAUGUGCGUCUUUGUGUCGACUUUAAAGUGGGUGUCAACCCUCAACUAGGGACGGCACAUUACCCAAUCAAACGCAUCGACGAAAUUUUCAACACACUAAAAAACUCCAGUUUUUUUGCAAGUUAGAUCUAUAUAAGGCGUACCUUCAUGUUCGAAUCGGCGACGACAGUAAAAAUAUUCAAACGAUAUCAACUCACAGAGGUAUAUACAAUAGUAUGCAUCGACUAUCUUUUGGAUUAAAAACAGCUCCUAGUGAAUUCAACGAUUAAAGAGUGUGAAGAUCGUCUCAUCAAACCUCUGGAUAGAUUGCAACUUAAUUAAUUACACAUAAACAAAAGCCAAUGUGAGUUUUUUAAAACUCAAUUAAAAUAUUUAGGCUACGUAGUUAGCUUCAAUGAUUACAUACUGUUCAAAAUUUGUACCAGACGUUUCAACAAUAACACACCCGUUGCCCCAACUCCUAGAGGAAGGUGAACGUCAGAAUGUGAAAGUGUAUUUGAAAAACUAAAACAGGAGAUUAUUGCUGAUAGGGUAUUAACAAUGCGUCAUUGCCGGUACAAUUGACUGGUGACGCCAGUCCAACAGGUAUAGCAGCUGUGCUGUUACAUAUAAACGGAGUAGAACGCACUGUAGCAUUCAUUUCUAGAGCCUUAACCAAGGCCGAGCUAAAUUAAAGUCAACUAGACCGCGAGGCCUUAGCGAUAGUGUUUGCAGUUGAUGAAUUAUACACAUACCUGAAUGCAAGAGAGUUUACGUUCAUUACCGACAAUCGACCACUUUCCAGAAUUUUCCACCAAAACGCAAAAACUCCAGCUGUGACUUCUGCAAGACUUUUCAGAGCACCAAUAACCAGUAGCAACAAUUUGUAUCACUUCUUGGACGAAGAGGUAAAAAUGAUUUAAGAUCAAAUCAUCCACCAAAUAUCAUCAACAUCGAUUACUGCGUUAACCAUAAAACACGAAACAGAUUAAGAUCAAGACCUUGUAAAGCUAAGAAAAUACAUUUUGAACGAAAAAACCCCAUCUUUUCACUUCAAGAAGGAAUCAUUUUUCGAGGCAAUCGUGUUCUCAUUCUAACAACUUUACGUUCCAGCAUAAUUAAAGAACUGCAUCAUACGCACUUUGCAUUGUGACAUUAAAGAAAUGGUGAAAGCUUGCUCCGAUUGUGCCAAUAUUAUGAAGAAUCCAGCGAAAGUUCUUACGCACCAAUGGGAAGAACCAGACGCAAAAUCAAAAUGGCCCGAAGUGAAAGUCAUUAAAAAAGCGGCAACAACUGAAAGAACAAUAGACCUUCCACAAAAUAUUUUUCCGCACAUAGACUUCCAAAAAUUCUAGUUUCCGAUAAUGCAUCGAUAUUUCAAAGCAACGUUUUUCGUAAUUUCCGAAUACCAAAUGGCAUUACUCAAAAAUUUAUUGCACCAGUCCAUCCAACUACCAACAGCUUAGCCGAAAAAUCUUCUAAGAAUCUCUGGUGUUCCUGAUGCUGGUUGCUGUGCAGCUGGCUCUGGGGUAUGAGGUGGAAUGAUAACAUGAAUUGUUGAACGACUCUCAAUUCGAAUUUCGCUAUAAACCGGUUUAGGCUUUGGUGGUAAUUCAGCAAACGUAACUUGCUUUUGAGGCUUAUCGACAUUUGAUUUAUAAAGUUGGUUUAUAUGGCGUUUAAACUCGUAGCCAUUAUCGAGCCUUAUAUGGUAGUGCAGUUUUCCAAAUUUCUUUUUAACGAUUCCAAACUUCCAAGUCGGUUUGUUAUUGACGUACCAUCGUACUUGCACUCUGGAUCUCAGGAUAAGAUGGUUUUAGAUUUUUCCAAAGGACGAAUUGCAUCAAGUUUUAUUCGCAACUCGCGCCCUUGAUACAAUUUCGAAGGACUAUUACCAUCGGCUAACGGUGUUGCUCUAUGGCGAAAAACAAUAUCCUGCACUUUCUCAUAUAACGUUGAUUUUUCAUUGCAUUUAAUUUAAUAACUUAAACACAGAAAUUUAUAUCCGUAUUUAGGAUGGGAUAUCUGGGGGGCCGCCCCACCUCCAAAGCCACCAGCCAAAUGAAAUAUUAACCAAUAAUGACA